CCCUUAGAUGUCCUGGGCUGCACGCGCGCUACACUGGCACGUUCAACGAGUUUUGCCUGCUCCGAUGGGACUGGGUAAUCUUAUGAAAGCGUGUCGUGAUGGGGAUAGAUUAUUGCAAUUAUUAAUCUUCAACGAGGAAUUCCUAGUAAGUACAAGUCAUCAGCUUGUGCUGAUUACGUCCCUGCCCUUUGUACACACCGCCCGUCGCUCCUACCGAUUGGGUGAUCCGGUGAAUAACUCGGACUGCAGCUAUUCGGGAGACCGUUAGCUUGUGGAAAGUUUAGUAAAUCUUAUCACUUAGAGGAAGGAGAAGUCGUAACA
rnacentral:rRNA from 1 species